rnacentral:tRNA from 1 species
GAAAUAUGAAAUUCAAAAAUAAGCUUCUAACUUAAUUUUUUAGCAGUGUAAUUCUGUUAAUAUUUCU